UACAGAGGUCUCAAGCGUUGUUCGGAAUCACUGGGCGUAAAGGGUGCGUAGGUGGCGUGGUAAGUCAGAUGUGAAAGCCCGGGGCUCAACCUCGGAAUUGCAUCCGAUACUGCCGUGCUCGAGUACUGGAGAGGUGACUAGAAUUCUAGGUGUAGCAGUGAAAUGCGUAGAUAUCUAGAGGAAUACCAAAGGCGUAGGCAGGUCACUGGACAGUUACUGACACUGAGGCACGAAGGCCAGGGGAGCAAACGGG
rnacentral:rRNA from 1 species